UUGAGCUCCGGUUUCCACCCGCAAUCCAGUGGUCAGACUGAGUGGCUUAACCAGGAGCUGGAGGCUGCGCUACGAUGCGUAGCGUCCCAAAACCCCACCUCCUGGGUCACCUAUUUACCCUGGGUGGAAUAUGCUCAUAACUCAUAACCCGGAAACUAGCCCCCCACUUCAUUGGCCAGUAUGAAAUUGGUACAGUCAUCAAUCCAGCGGUGGUUCGGCUCAAGCUCCCCAUUUCCUGGCGCAUACAUCCCACGUUCUACGUUUCCCAGAUUAAACCUGUCCGCCAGAGCCCGUUGUGCCCUCUGUCCGAGCCCCCUCCUCCAGUCCGGCUUAUCGACGAUCAUCCGGCCUAUACGGUCCGACGGAUCGUGGAUGCGCACCGGCGCGGGCGGGGGUGGCAGUACCUGGUGGACUGGGAGGGGUACGGUCCUGAGAACCGUCUCUGGGUUCCACGGUCCUCCAUUCUGGACCCGUCUCUCAUCGCUGACUUCCGCGCUUUUCUCUGCAGGCAGCAGUCCGGUCGGUCGCCAGGGGGCAACCCUUGAGGGGGGGUACUGUCAUGGUCCGUGGUCCUGUGUCUGAGGAGUGUGUGUGUGUGUGUGUGGGAUGCCCUGGAGGCCACACCCCCGGGCUCGGCCAUCACCUGCACACCUGCUUUACAUCCGGGGCGAUUACCCCACGUUGAUGGAUGCUCCAUGCCAGUCCGUUAAUCACCUCUCUGUGAUUACAAUCCAGCAUCCUGCAUCUGCCACCUGCCUGUCCUCCUGCUCGCCUGGACCACCCGGUGCAUCAGCUGGCCUUAUUCCUGACUCCGAUUCACUUUCCACGGACUCACUCACCCCCCUUCCGAGUCCCACGGUCCCUCUCCGAUCCCUCCCACGGUCCCGAUUCCAGCUUCCCUGCGUCAUUUAUUUCCCCGGGUUUUCUUCAGUUCCUCGCUUGCUUCUUUAAUUACUCCGGGUCACCUUUUGUUAAUAUAAUAAACCG